CGCGAAGACCAACACCUGGACGAACGUCAAGCGAUCCAUGUUGUUCCGUUGGGCGGGUGCACGUUCAGUCCGAUCUCGACAUCGAGGUAAAAGUUGGCUCGUAACCAGCCGACCGACAUUAAUCGACUACCAGGUCUUCCGCCGUUGUCCGACACGGUAUGACAAAGGAACUUCCAGGCAAUCUGAUUAUCUCUGAACCCGCAAGAUUCACUUUAGUAGCAAAUGAUCGGUUCGCGGCUGAAAAGAAUACUUCACGAAGACAUAAAUCCAACUAAUAUCUUCGCCGGGACGUUCGAUCGUUUGCUCAUCAUUGAUAAUAGUUAUUCCGUCCUCGGCGCAACCGUACCAUCCGGUGUCCACUGCCGCUGCAUGAGGUACAACGAAGGGAUCAUCGUCGGCUUCCGUGACUCGGUAUCUAAACGGAUGAGGUACAAUGUCAAGUGUUGGAAUACGAGCAUAAAUAAUCUUGUAAAGUAAGAAUAUAAUUUGUAUAACAUGUCACGACUAGCGCGUAUGGCUCGACGAAAGAAAAGGCGUUAGGUCCUUCUCCGAGAGGCUUAUCUUUGUUAACGAAGAAUAAGAUAUACAAACGGUUAAAGACUACCAGCGCUCGACACUCAAUUCAACCGUUCAAUUGGUCAGUUUUCCGGCAACUCUCACUCGGGAUAGUCGUCUGAAUAAUAAAUAAAAUUUAUAUGUUCUACUUGAACUUCUGUGAUUAAAUACAACACCUGAGACCCGUAUCCAAUGUCAAGAUUAAAAAUAGUCGAAUGCGAGAAAAUAAUCAAGAAUUUACAACGUGCCGAGCCAACCUUAGAAAGAAAGAAAGGAAAUUGAACAGCCUUGACUUCGUCUCAUGCGAUAUUCUUCAAUGAAUGAAAUAUAGGAACGCACAUGCUCGAAGAUAAGGAAAAAUGGGUCUGAUAAAAAAUAUUCCCCUGAUCGAUUACUGCAAUUGACCAGAAUAAAGUUUCAUCGCCGCGGAGUAGAGAAUCCCGCAGUAGUUUAAAGAGGCCCGAAGACUCUGCGCCAACAUAUAAACUGACUAUAAAUACCCUUCUGUACUUUGGUGCAGAAUUUUUUAUAAAGAUUUGAAUUCCCCUGCAAACAUAACAGAACGCCGCCCGAAUACCGAUAUGUUGACGAGUUUGCGGUUUAACGGAUAUAAUAUAAGCUACUAUUAUUAGACGAUACGUUCGUUCAUGCCUACGUGUGGAUUGGAAAUGUUAAAUAAAAUAUCUGAUUCAUCUGGUCCAAGUAAUUCGGAGCAAAGCAUUCGCGUUUUGUCGAGGUUAGAAACCGCUUUGUCGAGUAAAACGAUUUGCUUAUUGACCUAAACUUCUGCACGGAUUAGAUUGGAUUUCACGUUCGAUGAGUCAUACGUAACAAACGUCUAAACUCUAAGACAAUAAACAAUGUGAGCGUCUGAAGGCGAGAGUCUCGACGAGAAUACGAAUCAAAAGGCAAUUUAUUGACUCAUUUAUAGUAUCUCGGUAUUAACGGGAAUUAUUAUGUCAGUAUUAACUGCGAAGCCGGACGUCGACCUUGAUAAUAAAGAUGAGCUGUGAAACCAAUGACUAAUGAACUUACCUCAACACAGACAUUGCACGAAAGCGAAAUUUCACGUCACGCCAAUAAUUACCUCU